rnacentral:rRNA from 1 species
UGGGGAAUAUUGCACAAUGGGCGCAAGCCUGGUGCAGCCAUGCCGCGUGUAUGAAGAAGGCCUUCGGGUUGUAAAGUACUUUCAGUCGGGAGGAAGGUGUCAAGGUUAAUAACCUUGGCAAUUGACGUUACCGACAGAAGAAGCACCGGCUAACUCCGUGCCAGCAGCCGCGGUAAUACGGAGGGUGCAAGCGUUAAUCGGAAUUACUGGGCGUAAAGCGCACGCAGGCGGUUGAUUGAGUCAGAUGUGAAAUCCCCGGGCUUAACCCGGGAAUUGCAUCUGAUACUGGUCAGCUAGAGUCUUGUAGAGGGGGGUAGAAUUCCAUGUGUAGCGGUGAAAUGCGUAGAGAUGUGGAGGAAUACCGGUGGCGAAGGCGGCCCCCUGGACAAAGACUGACGCUCAGGUGCGAAAGCGUGGGGAGCAAACAGG